AAAAAGGUUAGUUCUCAAUCGUCAUAGAGAAACUAGGUGAAUAAUGGAAUAAAAGAGAUAGAAACCCUAAAAAGGAGAAAAGGAGAGUUGUCACCAUCUCCAAAUCUACCCCCAAAGGGGUGAAAAGUGUGUUUCUGUGCCUAAGCCAUCAAAAGAUACAUUUCUAGAGUGUCUAGGUCUUUAAAUAGGCCAUAAAAAUAAUAGAAAACAAGUCCAAGCCCAAACAAAUUAUAAAAAUCACAUAAAACAGGUCCAGGCCCGCGACCAAACCGCUCAGCGCUCAAAAACAGCACUCAGCGGUUUUCCUCAAAAUCGCACAGUGCGCGAAACCACCGCUCAGCGCUCUGGUCAACAUUCUGGUCAACUGGUUGACUUUUCUGGUUGACUGUUGACUUUUCUGCAUUAUAUUUGACUUUUCUGCACUGCAACCCUUGGUACUUCAACCUUUCUUUCAAUUCAUUCCAAAAAGCUACAAAAUCAAGGGAAUUUAAUGAUAAAAUCAUAAAACAUGUCUCCAACUCUUUUAUUCACAAAACUAAAGAAAAAUCAUGAUUUCAAACAAGUUUCUAAGUCAACAAGGGUGCAUUUGAUAUCAAAGCCUUAUUGUCUGCUAGAGAUGUUGAGAUUAAAAUUGUUACUGUUCAACAAGUUUGUGAAAAUUGUCCUACACAUAUUGAAAAGAUUGAUUACUUGACUAGCAAGCUAGCUAAGUUUGCUCAAGCUAGUGACAAUUUAGAUAUUUUACUGAAUUCAUCUAGCAGAAGUAAAAAUAGGCAAGGAAUUGGAUUCAAAGGUUACUCUAAGAGAACCAAUGCUAGGAAGCUUAAUGAAUUAAGAAAAUCUGCCAGAAAUGCAUGUUUUUAUUGUAACUGUGUUGGUCAUACUGUUAGAAAUUGCUACUACAAAAAUGUUGUUGUUCCUCAACGAUUAUACGUAUGGAUACCAAAGGAACAUGUGACAAGAACUAACAAUCAAGGACCCAAAAUUAAAUGGGUACCAGCAACCAAAAAUUAAGUGUUUUGCAGGUUAUGCAGCUGAUACAGAACUGUUCCAAAGGAUGAAUUAACCGUGGAUUAUAUCAAACACCUUGAAUGUUUACAAUUGGUAAUUUUGUAUCUAUCUGUUGCAUCAUGCAUACAUUGAUAAAUUGAUGUUGUGUGAUUGUUUGUACUAUGUGCUGAAUUGUCUGAAUGGUUAAAUUGAAUUGAAAAUGUUUUUGUUGUAUCUUAGUCGACCUCAAAUUUAAUCAAGUCAACUGCAAUAUAUCAUUUUGGUCCAUGUAUCCCAUUUUAGCUUUUCGCGCACAUUUUUAUGUAUAAUGUCAUUGUCAAUCUCUCUUCUGACACUUGCACACACACUUUACUUGUGCAUUUCCAAUGAUCCUUGACUGAACUAUGGAAAUUUGAACUGAGCAAAUGGCCUCCAAAACUCUUCCCUCAAGAAGCUUGAGAGAAAGAUCAUCUACAUCAUUUAUGGAAACGGUUGUUGUUGAGAAAAUACUCUUGGGGUUUGAAAAAGAGGUCGUUGCACCAAAAUAUUUGGACCUGAGGCUCUUUGAGAAAGAUAGUUUUAUGUUUCCAUAAUGGAGUGGGAAACAAAAAUUGAUUACAUUUGUGCAAAUGAAAGGAAACUGGUUUCCUGAUCUUGUCAGAGUCUUCUAUCAUAAUCUAAGAGUUGUUGAUGGAGUCAUUAAGCGCUAUCUAUACAUGCGCUAUCUAUUAAUAGAUAACGCUUAUUUACAACUAAAAGUAUACAAUACGUAUAUUCUUUCAUGUCAAACAAUUUCUUUAAAUAUUGUCUCAUAUUAAUGUCUACCGCCACUGGGUCAAGAUAAUGAAUUAUCUCCAGUUUAAGAUUGAUUCACAACAAGACCCAAUAUUGGCUACAAUUUGAAAUGAAUGAACAAAAUUAGAAUUUGUACAUCUAACUUUGAAAAUAAUACAUUGUUGAUAAAGUUGUACAACAAAGUAUUACCCGGUAUUAAUAGGUGCAAGAACAAACUUAUCAAUCAUCCCAUUAUCAAGAAAAAGAGUAACUAUUUUUUACAUUUUAUCUUUCAUUAGUAGCUCGAAAAUUUGUUUUCUCCAGAAAAAACACGUCCCAUAGAAAAAUUAUAAACAAUGCAAUUUAUAACCACACAAGAAUCAAAUCAAAAUCUUCAUUUCAAUCAUCAAACAACAUACUUAACAAUUUGAAUGUAUAAAGACAACUCAUUACAUGACUCAUUCACAUAUUUUAAUAAACUUUAAUUAAAAGCUUUAAAAUAAAACCUAAAAAUAUCUUUAAGCAUCAAGAAAUGUACCAAAAGUUGUUGCCCCAAGGUUCCAUGCGUAAAAAAAAAUUAAGUUUAUGAAACUUGCACUCAUUCUCAAACAAAAGGUUAAUAAUAGCCUAACAAGCAUUUUAUGCAAGUUUUAUAUCAAUUUAGCAAAUAUUUUACAGAUUUCUAACCCAAAACAGCAAAGAAUUUCUACACCAUUUUAACCAAAACAGCAAGACUUUUUGGGCAGCAAACAGCAAAGUUUUAAUUACAAUAAUAGCAUCCAGAACAGCACCAAACAGCAAGGUAUUGGGUGCAAUUACAGCAAAAGUUUUAUGCAGAUUUUACAGCAAAGACAAGGUUUAUGCAGAAUUUUAGUAUAAAACAGCAGCAUUUUUAUGUGAAAACAACACUCAUUUUCUGCAGAAUUUUAUUCUAAAACAGCAACCAUUUUUCUGCAGAAUUUUAUUUUAACACAACAAGGAAUUUACAGCAUUUAUAAUAACUAACAGACAACCUUUCUGGCAGCAAACAGCAAAGGAUUUAAGUACAAUACAGCAUCCAGAACAACACCAAACAGCAAGAUUUUCUGGUAUAAAACAACAGUGAAUUAAGUGCAGUAACAACAUCAGAAACAACACCAAACAGCAAGGAAUUAAGUUAAAAACAGCAAAGGCUUUUUCUCAAAACUCUACACCUACGGCACUAAACAAAGCUGGACAGUAGAGCAAGGAAUAAAAUGAAAAAAAAAAAAAACAAGAACAUUAAACCAUUAAUUUCCAGCAAACCUUUUUAUAAGCACAAUUCAAUGUACACCUUAUUUGGUGCCAAAUAGUUUAUCUAAAAGAAACCAACGUUAGCUUUCUUUUUGAAAAAGUUUCUAGAAUUAAACUUUUGGCCAUGUACCGUAAUGUCUAUUAAGCAUCAUUAGGUUUAUGCACCGCAUAGAGAAAAGAAAAUAUAAAAAUAAUAAACUAAAUAUUGGGACAUUAAUAGAAUUUAGCAUCAGCAAACAACUACCAAAAAAAAAUAUAAUAAAAUAGGAAUCAAUAACAACACCCCCAAAAAAGAAAAUGAAUGCUCAAAAGUUAGAUGUUUCUUUAAGAGCACCAUGAUUCAGCGUCAAAAACAAUUGGCAGCAACCUGAAACAAUUAUAAAUUACUAUAAUAUCAACGUGCAACAAUUAGAAAUCAAACCUGCAUCACAUAGCAUAAUUCCACCCAAAAUGAUUAACUACCCAGGCCAAUUGAUACAUUAAAAAGAAUCAAAACAUUAACCCCUAAUUUCUUUUUCCCCAAACAUCCAUAUGUCUAAGAUACAAGCAAUCAAAUAAAGUCAUAAUAACUCUCCAUACCUUGGUCAAUUCCGUUUUUUCCUAGAUAAGCUAGCUUCCCACCAGGUUCCUUCUCCUCUUUUCGAUUCGUCACACGUUCUCUCCCUCACCUAACCGCCUCUUUAUCCCCUUGUACUCACGAUUCUAGGGUGAUUCAAAAAAAAGAGAAGAAAAAGAAAACGAAGAAGAAUGGAUUAGGGUUCACUCCCUAUCUCUCUCGCAAGGACCUGCUCUUCCCUUUUCACUUGUGUUUGUGACUUUUGCUUAAGAGUUUUU
rnacentral:lncRNA from 1 species